rnacentral:rRNA from 1 species
CUCAUUAAAUCAGUUAUCGUUUAUUUGAUAGUACCUUACUACUUGGAUAACCGUGGUAAUUCUAGAGCUAAUACAUGCUAAAAACCCCGACUUCGGGAGGGGUGUAUUUAUUAGAUAAAAAACCAAUGCCCUCCGGGGCUCCUUGGUGAAUCAUGAUAACUUAACGAAUCGCAUGGCCUUGCGCCGGCGAUGGUUCAUUCAAAUUUCUGCCCUAUCAACUUUCGAUGGUAGGAUAGUGGCCUACCAUGGUAUCAACGGGUAACGGGGAAUUAGGGUUCUAUUCCGGAGAGGGAGCCUGAGAAACGGCUACCACAUCCAAGGAAGGCAGCAGGCGCGCAAAUUACCCAAUCCCGACACGGGGAGGUAGUGACAAUAAAUACUGAUACAGGGCUCUUUUGGGUCUUGUAAUUGGAAUGAGUACAAUUUAAAUACCUUAACGAGGAACAAUUGGAGGGCAAGUCUGGUGCCAGCAGCCGCGGUAAUUCCAGCUCCAAUAGCGUAUAUUAAAGUUGUUGCAGUUAAAAAGCUCGUAGUUGAACCUUGGGCCUGGCUGGCCGGUCCGCCUCACCGCGUGUACUGGUCCGGCCGGGCCUUUCCUUCUGGGGAUCCCCAUGCCCUUCACUGGGUGUGGCGGGGAACCAGGACUUUUACUUUGAAAAAAUUAGAGUGUUCAAAGCAGGCCUUUGCUCGAAUACAUUAGCAUGGAAUAAUAGAAUAGGACGUGCGGUCCUAUUUUGUUGGUUUCUAGGACCGCCGUAAUGAUUAAUAGGGAUAGUCGGGGGCAUCAGUAUUCAAUUGUCAGAGGUGAAAUUCUUGGAUUUAUUGAAGACUAACUACUGCGAAAGCAUUUGCCAAGGAUGUUUUCAUUAAUCAGUGAACGAAAGUUAGGGGAUCGAAGACGAUCAGAUACCGUCGUAGUCUUAACCGUAAACUAUGCCGACUAGGGAUCGGGCGAAGUUAUUAUUUUGACUCGCUCGGCACCUUACGAGAAAUCAAAGUCU